CAUAAAGGCCCCUACAGUGUCUUGCUUUUGGAAUUUCUCUGCACCAUCUCCUAUCAGCAUGAUCCUCUUCCUCAGCUUUUCUAAGCUAAAUGCCUCUCUUCCAAUUCCAUGCCUUAGCCUCACAGCUUUAUUCGAUUUGAGACUCUGGACUCCUUCCAUACAUUUCUACCAGUCUGUGAUAUGCCUGGGAACUGUCAACGGGUGACAUUUACCCCCCUGGAUAAAGAUGAGAAAACACCUUCAUCAGUCAGAACUCAACUCCUUUUCCAAAAGGAGGUGGUCACCCCAUUUCUUCCUCCUCAUUUCAGAACACUUGGCUGAAGCCAGCCUCCAGGCGCCAGGCCGAUGCGAGCAGGGAAGACCACUGAAGUCACAUGAGGAGGGCACAUAGCAAACAGAUCUGGACACGUGCUGCUCAACAGCCCUGGAAGGAGGGACUCCUGAUCAGCAUUUGGAACCCAGCUGUGGGGUCAGAACUAGAAAUGUGUGUUCUUUAUGCCCGAGUCACACAGUUUAAUGCCUUCCCAUGGCCUCAGUCUGGACCCCCUGGAGCCUCCAGCCUGGGAAAAGCUCAAGGAAAUCAGGUUCCCAGAACAUCUUCAAACUUCCUGGUAGCAGUAUAUCUGGGAAGACAGUCUGCAUGACUGUUUCUGUCAUUACAGCAGGAUGUUUUUCAGCCCCCUGCCCCUCCAGCUCAGUGUUCUCCCCUGUGUGCAGACUCCAGGUAGCAUUCCCUGUCCUUGAGAGCUAUUACCUUAGAUGCAGGCGGCCACGCAUCCCUGCCCUCCUUCGCUGAUCUGCAGUGAGCUGACACAAAGAAUGCAGGGGGACCUUCUAAGAACUUUUGUUAUCUGAGUUCCAAACUCCCUGAGCCCUGUGUGAGUGCAGAGGGAGCUCCCCAAAAUGCAAACCAUACGUACCAAGAUGGAGGAAGGUUGGAUCAUGCCAUUGAACAAGGACUAAUGAAGCCCCCAAAUCACAUCCAGUCAGGUGACUCUGAAAAUAUCCCUGGAUCCUAACAGCUUCCUCAAGGACACAAGUAUCUGCAAAUCUCGGUGACUCGGUUUUGAUGUUCUGAACCAACUGUCUUUCAUCUCUUGGGUUCAGCCAGCCCUGGGGCACCCUGGAGGCCUGGGCUCUGCUCUGCUGAGUGGAGCACAUCCCUAAUAAGGCAGGUGUCGGCCCGGGAGAAAAUAUCAUUACUAAUGGUUUGUGAAGGAGGAAAGGCUCACACGUGGGGUGUGCUGGGAAGGGAGAUGCUGUCUGCCAAAGGGGUUGGUGGUCUGAUGAGAUGUCCCUGUGCCCCAGAACGGCUGAUGGGGACUCAGGAAGCCAGAGCCUGCCUUUCUGUCUCUGCGUUGGGGAGCAACAACUCAGGAUGACAAGUGAGGUUCAGAGUGACCUGUCAGGUACAGGAGUUUUUAAGGAAAGUGGGCCCCAUUUGCCUGCACUCCCUGUAAAAGUGCGACAGGACGAGGCUGGCUUGCUGAUUGCAGGCAGGUUAGCCCGCAAAGGAAAACAUGGCUUUCAGCUCCACGAAUGCUUUUGAUAUUAGAGAAGCCUCUUGCUGGCUGUGACUUUAAGUGGAGAUUGUUCCCUAGAGACAAAUCAACCUGAAAUUUGCAAGAGCUCAGGGGCAGAAGGAAGAAAAUUGUGCCAGCUGGGAGACUUUAUAUCUGUGAGUCCGGGAUGGAGUCAGAAGUGGAGAAAAGGGUGGGAAGGCCAGGAGCCCCGUGGGUCAGAGGGAGGGCUGAAGAGACGUGCCAAGCCAGAGGUCACCCCUUCCCAAGGGGAGGGUGUCUUUGGGGACUGUGGGCAGAAAAGAACAGGCAUGAUUCCGAAUGGAGACUCCCAGGUUGAAGAACCCUGAACCAGGAAUGUCCCAGCUUCUCCCUUAGCCAACCUGACCCCGAGGAUAAAAGUGUUUUGGUGUUUACUUUUUCUAACUGAACGAUUUACAUACAACAGUUGUUUUGUUUUGUUUUGUUUUUUACGGGUGCAGCUGAUUUGAGUUUUGCAAACAGAUCACUCAUGUAACUAGUGUCCCGGUCAAAAUACAGAACAUUUCCCUGUCACCCCAGAGUGGUUCCCCUCUGCCCCUUCGAGCCAGUGUUCACCCUACUUCCCUUGCAGGACAAACACUGAUUUCUGUCAUCACAAGGUGAGUUCUGCUUGUUCUAGAGCUUCAUUUAAAUAGAGUGUGUGUUCCUCGGUUCUUUGUCUCGUCAUAACAAAGAUUUGGAGUGACGGACAUUAAAGCCCCCUCGGCGUGUCACGGCUCUCGGGUCUUGGAUGGACUGUGUUAUAGCUCUCAGGUCUCGAAAGGACCAUGUUAUAGCUCUUAGACAAACCAGUGUUACAGUUCAGUGUUACAGCUCUAUUUUAUAUAGAAGAUAGCAGGAAAAUCCAUCUUCGAGGCGUGAGGGCACAUCGAUCCAAAGAUGCGAAGAGAAGAGCGCCCCAGCGCACGCGCAAGAGAGAGCUAGCUUUGGCUCCUCUUUUUUUAUGUUUCUCUCUCCCUGGGCCUG